CGGCUCUGUGCAAUCGCUGGCGGAAGUGGUCCAGCCUCGGCGACCGUCACGGGGUCUCCGGGCGCCCCGCGGGGCGUGCAGGCGGGAGCCGGCACCGCCGGGCUGCCCCGUAGUGGGUCGCCAGGAUGGUGCAACUGUAUAAUCUGCACCCGUUCGGGUCGCAGCAGGUGGUGCCCUGCAAAUUGGAGCCCGAGCGGUUCUGCGGCGGCGGACGGGACGCGCUCUUCGUGGCGGCAGGCUGUAAGGUGGAGGCGUUCGCAGUGGCGGGACAGGAGUUGUGCCAGCCGAGGUGCGCCUUUUCCACGCUGGGCAGGGUGCUGUGCCUGGCCUACAGCGAGGCCGGAGACUAUUUGGCAGCAAUUGAAGAGAAAAACAAAGCUACGUUUCUACGAGCGUAUGUGAACUGGAGAAGUAAGAGGACUGAAAACUGUCGCGUGUGUAUCCGGAUGGUUGGACAUAAAGUGGAGGCACCCUUCAGCGACACCUUCAGAGACCAGAUGUCUAUCAUUGAAAUGCCACUUUCUGAGGCCCCCUUGUGCAUUUCCUGUUGCCCAAUGAAAGGAGACCUUCUUGUUGGUUGCACAAAUAAGUUAGUCUUAUUUAGUUUGAAGUAUCAGCUCAUUAGUGAAGAAUUCUCAAUAUUAGACUUUGAACGUUCUUUAAUUAUACACAUAGAUAACAUCAUUCCUGUUGAAAUUUCUUUCUGUGUUGGAUAUGUUGCUCUCAUGUCAGAAUUAGAAGUGUUAAUCGUGAAACUGGAAUCAGACCCUAAAAGUGGAGAGAGUGUUAACUACCAGCCACCUAAGACCAACAAUCCAAUGAAACAGACAGAAGGCAUCAGUAAUGAAGCUUUGCAGCUUGAGUCGGAUGAUUUUGUUAUCUGUCAAAAGCCCGUGGAACUUCUUGGUGAAAAAAGUAGCCAGUCUGGAAUAUCCGUUACACUGGAGUCAACUGGAUUAGCUGAUAAAACCAUAAAAUAUUACCACAUUCAGCACCUGCUUUAUAAACGUUUUGCUCCUGAUAUUUCAUCCCUUGUCUUAUCUGAUGACAUCAGGCUGCACUCACUUCAGCUGCUACCCAUUUACCAAACAGGUUCUCCUACAUCUGAUGGAAAAAAAUUGUCUCAGGAAAAAGAGUUGCUGAGUCUCUUUUGUUUUUUCUCAUUACCUCAUGUGGGCUAUCUCUACAUGGUGGUCAAAUCUGUUGAAUUGAUGUCAGUUUACCAGUAUCCUGAGAAGUCUCAGCAGGCAGUGCUCACGCCACAGUUUUUGCAUGUCAUUACAAGCAACAACCUGCAGUGUUUCACAGUGCGGUGCAGUGCGGCGGCAGCGCGUGAAGAGGACCCAUACGUGGACACCACCCUGAAGGCUUGCCCACCUGUCACUAUGGAUGUCUGUGCUUUAAGAAUACAGCUUUUCAUAGGCUUGAAAGCCAUGUGUCACUUUAAAAACCACCUCAUACUUUUGACCAAGGCAGACCCUGAGGCCAUUCCAGAGACAAGAGAACCAUCCAAGAGGCUCCUCUCUAGAAAAGGAACGACUGUUAAGCUUAAAACACCUCCUGUAGCUGAGGCUGGGUGGAAUUUGUAUGUUGUGGAUACGAUCUCACCAGUACAACUGUACAGAGAAAUGGUAGACUACAGUAAUACCUACAAGACUGCAAGGACCCAGAGCUGCAUCCACCUUCUUAGCGAGGCUCAUCUGUUAGUGAGGGCCGCCCUGAUGGAUGCCAGUCAGUUGGAACCUGGAGAAAAAGCAGAGCUUUUAGAAGCAUUUAAAGAAAGCUGUGGGCACCUUGGAGACUGCUAUAGCAGGCUUGACACCCAGCAUUCCCACCUUGCCUUGCCAUACUAUAAGAUGUCUGGUUUGUCUAUGGCUGAAGUUUUAACCCGAGCAGACUGGCCACUGGAGGCUGGAUUGCAGAAAUACGAGAGGGGAUUAAUCUUCUACAUUAAUCAUUCACUCUAUGAAAACCUGGAUGAAGAAUUAAGUGAAGAAUUAGCAGCAAAAGUGGUUCAGAUGUUCCAUGAGGCCGAGCCAAGACAACUGCCCCAUGUUCUCUGUAGUCCUUCUAUGAAGAAUAUUAAUCCGGUAACUGCCAUGAGCUAUCUGAGCAAGCUGGAUACUUCUGGGUUCUCAUCGAUCUUAGUGACAUUGACCAAAGCAGCAAUGGCUCUGAAAAUGGGAGAUCUUGACAUGCACAGAAAUGAAAUGCAAAGCUAUCCAGAGAUGAAGUUGGUAUGUGGCUUUAUCCUGGAACCUCGGCUACUGAUUCAGCAGAGAAGGGGACAGAUUGUUCCAACUGAACUUGCAGUGCACUUGAAGGACAUUCAGCCCGGACUGCUCGUGGCCUCAGUUCUGGGCUUACAGAAGAACAACAAAAUUGGAAUUGAGGAAGCAGAUUCCUUCUUUAAGGUGCUUUGUGGUAAGGACAAAGACACGAUUCCUCAGCUCUUGGUAGACCUUUGGGAAGCUCAGCUCGUGGCCGGUCUCCCAGACGUGGUUCUCCAGGAGCUCUUUUUCAAGCUCACAUCACAGUACAUCUGGAGAUUGUCCAAGAUGCAGCCCCCUGACACCACACCAUUGCGAACAUCAGAGGAUCUGAUAAAUGCCUGUAGUCAUUAUGGCUUAAUCUAUCCAUGGGUUAAUGUCUUAAUAUCAUCUGAUUUCUUAGCGGAUAAAAGUUAUACAGAAGACCUUUCAAAAUUACAGUCUCUUAUAUGUGGUCCUUCAUUUGACAUAGCUUCCAUUAUUCCAUUCCUGGAACCACUCUCAGAAGACACUGUUGCUGGCCUCAGUGUCCGUGUUCUGUGUCGUACGCGUUUGAAAGAGUAUGAACAGUGUAUAGACACACUGCUAGAAAGAUGCCCGGAGGCGAUCAUUCCAUAUGCUAAUCACGAACUGAAAGAAGAGAAUCGGACUUUGUGGUGGAAAAAACUGCUGCCUGAACUUUGUCAUAGAAUAAAAUGCGGUGGAGAGAAAGGUCAACUUUACCUGUCAUCAUUAAAAGAAACGCUGUCGGUUGUUGCCGUGGAGCUAGAACUAAGGGAUUUCUUGAAUGUCCUUCCAGAAGAUGGCACCGCAGCAUUUUUCUUGCCAUAUCUUCUUUAUUGCAGUCGAAAGAAGUCAUUGACUUGAAGGUAUCAUUGGAAAAGUAUCACAAUGCCAUAGGAGACGGACGUUUUUAAAAACGAGUGUCAGCCAGACUUGGUCUCUAUAAGAAGAGAAAUUUUAAGACCAUUAUUACAAACAGUACAGUAGUCCCCCUUAUCCAUGGCUUCAGUUAUCCUUGGUCAGCUGCAGUCCAGAAGCAGGUGUUCCUCCGAAGUACUGCUUUAUUUAAAGAAAAAUUUCUUUCCUCCCGGCAAGAUCUUCAUUAAUUAUAAAGGGAAAAAUAAUAACUUUACAAGAAUAAAACCUGGAAGACAUCUCCUUAAUCAAAUGCUCAACAUAAUCACUAAGAGAAAAAUCAACACUGGUGCCUCUUGACACGUGUACUGAGAAAAAAGUAUCACUUCUGUGAGAAUCCUGCUCAAAAAAAUGCAUAACCUCAAUCUGAUAAUGAGGAAACACUAGACAAACCCACACUGAAAGAUGCUCUACAAAGUCACUGCCCUGUGUUCUUUAAAAAUGUCAAAAUUAUAAAAGACAGACUGUUUCAGACUAAGAAAACAUGCCAACUGAACACAACGUAGGAGUGGGAUUUUCUUUUCCUGUGAAGAGUGUGAUGAGAAUAAUUUGUGAAAUUUGAAAAGGGUCUGUAGUAUUGAAUCAUUUUUAACUUCCUGACUUUGAUAAGUGUAUUGUGUUUAUAUGUGAUAAUCUUGUUUUUAAGAGAAUAAAUAGAUGUAUAUAUGUUUAUGAAUGUGUGAGGGGGGAAUUUUGGUAAAAGGUAUAUGGGAAUUUUUGGUAGUGCUUUUGCAACCUUUCUCUUAAGUGUGACAUUAUGGCCAAAAAUUUUUUUUAAGUUCCUUUUUAUUGAACAUUUAGAUUCAGAUAUUUUUACCAAGCAGAAUAUUGGAUUUGGGUACUUACUAGAAAUACAUAAUAUACAAUCCCUGCCUAUGAGUACCUAAAAGUUAAGCAAGUUUUCCUACAGACUUCUCCAAAAGGUUAUCUGACUGUCAUAGAAAUGUCACAGUCUAAAAAAAGUACCUUUUAUAUUUGUCAGAGGAGGUCUUUAUUAUGCUUCUUGUGGUAGGGGAAAUGAAGUAGUACAUUAAUUAAGUAUGAUGGUAUAGCCACAAUUCUUUUCUAGUGAUGUUUUUCAUUGAGGUGGAAAUUGCCUGUCUCCCGGCACAUAAUAUUGAAACAUUUUACUCCAACCUCAUGUACUCUCUUUUCUGUGUUGUGGUAGGCAGAAAAUUUUCCAAGAUUCAGAAUUCAUGUGGACUUAUCCAAAGCUUUAUCAAACAUUUAUUUAAAGAUAAUUCAGACUGGCAAACAUGGCUCUCCAUUUUUUUGUUUAGAGUUCAGACUGUCUUUUUUGUUCAUUACUGCCUCUUCCAGUCCAUGCAAUACCUUUUCUUUUUGUAAAAGCCAAUUUCUUUCAUCUUUUCUCCACUGUGUGUUUUCCCUUCACAUUUGCACUUUGCUCUACAGUUUUUCCUUUGACUUUUAAAACCAGUCUCCCCUUUCUUAACCAAGCAGUCAUCUCCCUCUGCUUCUAGGCUGUUUCUACAGGAGGACUUUCUAGUGCCUGGGUGUGUAGGAUUAGCCUGUAACAGCAUCCUCAGGCAUUUGCACACAUGGAUUUCCAGAAUGCCUGCCUCAGUGUCCCCUCACUCUUGGGUCUUUUUUCUCUGAGCAGGACCGUCCUCUUGUAUGCUGAUUUGUGUGUGUGCUGAUGUUCUUCAAACACUAUUUAUAAAGUUUUCUUUCUCAUCUUUGACUCUUCACCUUCUUCAGUAGUUACUGGCAUUAAGCCCAGUGGUUUAUUAGCCUGUUCCCCUCUUUGGUGUUAUGAUGCCUUUGUUCCCACUCUUUGUAAUAAAGGGUUUUAAUAGAAUAGUUUUUCAUGUUACGACAUGUUUGUAUAAAACCCCAGGAGCAGAAAAUAAAACAUCAUUUGCAGUAA